rnacentral:rRNA from 1 species
CAUGCAGUCGAACGGUAGCACAGAGAACUUGGUCCCUUGUGACGAGUGGGACAGGGGAGUGUAGUGUGGGAAAAUGCCAUAUAGAGGGAGAUAUCCUGUGAAAAGGGUCUCAAAUCCCGUAUAGUCUCACGAGCCCAAAGAGGGGCCUCUUCGCCUCUCGUGCUCUCAUAUGUGCCCAUGGGGUUAUAUCUAAUGUGGGGGGACGCCUCUCCUCUGCGACAAUACCCCUCUGGGCUGAGAGAAUGAGCCCCCCCACUGUGGAUGAGACACGGUCCACACCCCUAGGGGGGGCCACUGGGGAAUAUUGUGCACUGGGGGCGCGCCUGAUGCCCCUGUGCCGUGUGUAAAAAAAGCGUUUUCGUUUUGUAGUAUAUUUUCCGAGAAGAAGAGGGUGUUGGGUAAAAUCCCCGCCGAUUGAUUUUACUCACAAAAAACACCCCCUAUAUCUCCGCGCCCACCCCCGCGAAUAUACAGGGUGCGCGCGUUUUACUCAGUUACAGUGGGUAUAGCGCACACGCGCGCUCUGUGUCGUCUCAUGUGAGAUCUCCGGGCUCUCACUGUGAGCUGUGUCUCAGACAGGCAGGCUAGAGUCUUGUAGAGGGGGGUAGAAUUCCAGGUGUAGCGGUGAAAUGCGUAGAGAUCUGGAGGAAUACCGGUGGCGAAGGCGGCCCCCUGGACAAAGACUGACGCUCAGGUGCGAAAGCGUGGGGAGCAAACAGGAUUAGAUACCCUGGUAGUCCACGCCGUAAACGAUGUCGACUUGGAGGUUGUGCCCUUGAGGCGUGGCUUCCGGAGCUAACGCGUUAAGUCGACCGCCUGGGGAGUACGGCCGCAAGGUUAAAACUCAAAUGAAUUGACGGGGGCCCGCACAAGCGGUGGAGCAUGUGGUUUAAUUCGAUGCAACGCGAAGAACCUUACCUACUCUUGACAUCCAGAGAACUUAGCAGAGAUGCUUUGGUGCCUUCGGGAACUCUGAGACAGGUGCUGCAUGGCUGUCGUCAGCUCGUGUUGUGAAAUGUUGGGUUAAGUCCCGCAACGAGCGCAACCCUUAUCCUUUGUUGCCAGCGGUCCGGCCGGGAACUCAAAGGAGACUGCCAGUGAUAAACUGGAGGAAGGUGGGGAUGACGUCAAGUCAUCAUGGCCCUUACGAGUAGGGCUACACACGUGCUACAAUGGCAUAUACAAAGAGAAGCGACCUCGCGAGAGCAAGCGGACCUCAUAAAGUAUGUCGUAGUCCGGAUUGGAGUCUGCAACUCGACUCCAUGAAGUCGGAAUCGCUAGUAAUCGUGGAUCAGAAUGCCACGGUGAAUACGUUCCCGGGCCUUGUACACACCGCCCGUCACACCAUGGGAGUGGGUUGCAAAAGAAGUAGGUAGCUUAACCUUCGGGAGGGCGCUACCACUUUG